rnacentral:rRNA from 1 species
GACGAACGCUGGCGGCGUGCUUAACACAUGCGAGUCGAACGGAAAGGCCCUGCUUUUGUGGGGUGCUCGAGUGGCGAACGGGUGAGUAACACGUGAGUAACCUGCCCUUGACUUUGGGAUAACUUCAGGAAACUGGGGCUAAUACCGGAUAGGAGCUCCUGCUGCAUGGUGGGGGUUGGAAAGUUUGGGCGGUUGGGGAUGGACUCGCGGCUUAUCAGCUUGUUGGUGGGGUAGUGGCUUACCAAGGCUUUGACGGGUAGCCGGCCUGAGAGGGUGACCGGCCACAUUGGGACUGAGAUACGGCCCAGACUCCUACGGGAGGCAGCAGUGGGGAAUAUUGCACAAUGGGCGGAAGCCUGAUGCAGCAACGCCGCGUGCGGGAUGACGGCCUUCGGGUUGUAAACCGCUUUCGCCUGUGACGAAGCGUGAGUGACGGUAAUGGGUAAAGAAGCACCGGCUAACUACGUG